AACUUAAGCAUAUCAAUAAGCGGAGGAAAAGAAACCAACAGGGAUUGCCUUAGUAACUGCGAGUGAAGCGGCAAAAGCUCAAAUUUGAAAUCUGGGGCCUCACAGCCUCCGAAUUGUAAUUUCACGAUACGUUUUCGACUGAAGGCUCUGCUUUAAGUUCCUUGGAACAGGACGUCACAGAGGGUGAGAAUCCCGUGAUAGGUGGAGCCUGAUGCAUAUGAUACGUAUUCAACGAGUCGAGUUGUUUGGGAAUGCAGCUCAAAAUGGGAGGUAAAUUUCUUCUAAAGCUAAAUAUUGGCGAGAGACCGAUAGCGCACAAGUAGAGUGAUCGAAAGAUGAAAAGCACUUUGAAAAGAGAGUUAAAAAGUACGUGAAAUUGUUGAAAGGGAAGCGCUUGAGACCAGACUCAAUCUGUAGUGAUCAAUUUGGCUUCUGUCAGAUGCACUUGCUACUUAUUGGGACAGCAUCGGUUUUGGCGGUGGGAUAAAGUCUUGAGGAAUGUAGCUAUCUUCGGGUAGUGUUAUAGCCUCUUGAGUAAUGCCACCAGSUGGGACCGAGGACCGCGCCGCAAGGCUAGGAUGCUGUCAUAAUGGUCUUCAGCGACCCGUCUUGAAACACGGACCAAGGAGUCUAACAUCUAUGCGAGUGUUCGGGUGGAAAACCCUUGCGCGUAAUGAAAGUGAACGGAGGUGGGAACCUUAGGGUGCACCAUCGACCGAUCCUGAUGUCUUCGGAAGGAUUUGAGUAUGAGCAUAGCUGUUGGGACCCGAAAGAUGGUGAACUAUGCCUGAAUAGGGUGAAGCCAGAGGAAACUCUGGUGGAGGCUCGCAGCGGUUCUGACGUGCAAAUCGAUCGUCAAAUUUGGGUAUAGGGGCGAA
rnacentral:rRNA from 1 species